CAGCAGCCGCGGGAAUACGUAGGUGGCGAGCGUUGUCCGGAAUCAUUGGGCGUAAAGGGAGCGCAGGCGGGCAUGUAAGUCUUUCUUAAAAGUGCGGGGCUCAACCCCGUGAUGGGAAAGAAACUACAUGUCUUGAGUACAGGAGAGGAAAGCGGAAUUCCCAGUGUAGCGGUGAAAUGCGUAGAUAUUGGGAGGAACACCAGUGGCGAAGGCGGCUUUCUGGACUGCAACUGACGCUGAGGCUCGAAAGCCAGGGGAGCGAACGGGAUUAGAUACCCCCGUAGUCCCUGUCUCUUAUACA
rnacentral:rRNA from 1 species